UACGGGGGGGGCAAGCGUUGUUCGGAAUUACUGGGCGUAAAGGGCUCGUAGGCGGCCAACUAAGUCAGACGUGAAAUCCCUCGGCUUAACCGGGGAACUGCGUCUGAUGCUGGAUGGCUAGAGUUUGGGAGAGGGAUGCGGAAUUCCAGGUGUAGCGGUGAAAUGCGUAGAUAUCUGGAGGAACACCGGUGGCGAAGGCGGCAUCCUGGACCGGCAUUGACGCUGAGGAGCGAAAGCCAGGGGAGCAAACGGG
rnacentral:rRNA from 1 species